rnacentral:rRNA from 1 species
UACGAAGGGGGCUAGCGUUGCUCGGAAUUACUGGGCGUAAAGCGCACGUAGGCGGCUCUUUAAGUCGGGGGUGAAAUCCUGGAGCUCAACUCCAGAACUGCCUUCGAUACUGUAGAGCUUGAGUUCGGGAGAGGUGAGUGGAACUGCGAGUGUAGAGGUGAAAUUCGUAGAUAUUCGCAAGAACACCAGUGGCGAAGGCGGCUCACUGGCCAGAUACUGACGCUGAGGUGCGAAAGCGUGGGGAGCAAACAGG